CUCAUUUUCUCCACCGUGACACAAAAGCACCGAAAGUGUGGAUUCGGAGCAAAAUUGAAGGUUAUGUAUUCUUUAUGGUGAGAUGAUCAAUUGUAACCUCUGUCUGUCUGCAGCAGCCUAUUUUAAUGAGGGAGACGAGACCAAACUCUGUGUCCUGAGAGAAGAGCCUCAAAAAGAGAAUAAUAAAGUUGGACAAUCGACACAUGGAGGAUUGUGUCAGAGAAGUAAAUGGGGGCUCUUUUUUCUCCCAGAAAGGUCAAUUAUGUUCGGUGACAGCUUCCUCUCAGACGGAGGCCCAAAUUGGCAGGGGUGAGAAAAGAAGGUGAAUAAUUCUCUUCUGCAUUAACAUGGUUGGAAGACGGAUUGCCCUUUCGCGUCUAGAGAACGUGAGUCGAGGCCAAAGGAGCAGAGGUGAGAGAAGGCUUAAUUAAGUAAGCUGGGCUUGAAAAUCAGGAAAUAAGAGGUCAAUUUACAACUUAUGGAAUGGAGAGAUCAAAUCAACUCGCUGGCAAUUAACAAGGGAAUGAGUGAGAAUAAAAGAUGGGAUUCUGCUGCCGAGGGUCUCUUUUAGUACAAGUGCUGUAAAGGAUUAGUUAGAAGGUCAUCUAAAACCACGGAAUGACCUUGAAGAUUAGACCCCCACACAGACUCCACUCUCUCCCAGUGUAACCAAUCUAGGCUGCCCUAAGGAUGGAUCUGAGCUUCCUUUGAGGCCCACGGCAGCUCCGGCUGGGGCUCUUCUGCUCUGUGAGCUCCCGCGCUGAUCAACCUCUGUGUCAUUGUAUCGUUUACAGAAGGAGUGCUGAAAGGUUUUAAAGUGCAUACAUAAUGAAAUGUCUUUUCCUGCUUCAAGUUUUUGAAAAUCAGUGAACACUUUGUUUAAACAGACAAACUCCUGAUAUCAACCCUACCGAGAGCCAUCAUUUGAAACCUGGACAAGCAUCGUAACUAACCUGUUAUCAAAUCUGUCUGGAAGA